ensembl:lncRNA
CCUAUAGUAAAAUUUCAUGCAGUGUAUGCAUCCAACAUUUUGACCAAUGGGAUAGAUGUACAACAAAAAUACUGUGAAAGAGUUCUUGGGAUUUUCAGACAUAUGACAGCCUUCUAGCUCCAAGCUUUACUUUUUCCUGAAGGGAGCAAUGGCAAGGAAGAACUUCCAGAGCAAGAUCAGAAAUCUCUCUUACAAAUAUGAAGUAUCAGAAGCAGUAUGCAAGUAUCAAUCUUUUGUUGAGACACAGAAGAAAAUUGAGAACUGCCGUGAGCCCUGCUACCCUCUGUUAUUCAUUUUCUUACUAUCCCAAGAAAAGGAAUUGGCCAGUUCUACUGUAAUUAAAAAAACAGUUCUUAUCCACUAAUUCUGGUGGCUAGAGGACACUAACAUCAAGAAAUCCAUUUUCAUACAACAGUUCUUCAGAAAAACAGUGUUUUCACUUACUAAUUACCCUUGAACAUAUUCCUAAAGUUUGUGUGCAGUUUUGUGUAAUACUUAAAAUGUCAAUACUUUCUGUACUGUCUCUUAAUUUCAAGGUACAUUGAAUUUCAUGCAUAUGAAGACAGAAAGUAUUCCCUCUGUUUCUUUUCUUGGUUUAAUUCAUGCACUUAACAGGAGUCAUUUUAAAUCAUUUUCUCAGGGAAAAAGUUGAUGUCCUAUCUACUCAAGAGAAAAACACAUAUUUGUAAUUUUCUAAUAUGUGAGAUCUUAUACAGUUCUGUAAUUCAAGGCACAUAUUCCUCAGUAGUUCCAAUGAAGAUUCUAGUUUAUGAAAAAAAGAAUAUCUAUAGUGGUAAAAAAAGUUUAAACCAAUAGUGUUUUCAAAGUCGAAUGAUUCAUUUAAAUGUACACCUAUUCUUGGUGGCAGGUCAACAAAAAGCUGCCUGCAAUAUACAAAAUAAUACAUUAAUUUCAUCUGGUUUCACAGUGUUUGUAUUGGUAAAUGAAAGGACACAAAAAUAGGUUAAAGUCUCCUGAGGUCUUUUCAUGAAAUGAACAGCUUAGUAGGCAGGGCUGAAGGAGAGGAAAAGACAGCUGGGAAGCCAUUAUGUGGAUUAAUUCAAAAAGCCUUGGAUAAUAUCCCAGUGUUCUAGAAUUAGCUAAUGACAAAGUUGAGCUUUACGUCUCUUGUGUGCAAUCGCUUACUUUUGCACCUUUCAUCUGGCACUGUGUGCCCUUUGGCCAUUUCUGAGAAUGGAGAUGAGUUUUAACUCAUUAAUGUGAUAACAACUCAGCAGCUGAUAUUGGAGGCCUUGUGCUUAAUGGGCAUGUACACUGAAUUCUAGCAGGAUUCUUUUGUGGUGAGCAAGAAUGGAUCAGAGGGAACAACCUGAUUGCUCAGCAACAGCAGACAUACUGACUCUAUAUGGGAGAAGCUAUGUGAAUGACUCAUUCCAGUUGUCUCAAGAAGUAAUGACUGAGAAUAACAGCUUUAAUAGUAAAAGUGUAAUGUGACUAGGAGGGAUUUAAGUAAUACAAGGAAAAGGAAAACCAGAUAGCAAUAUGAAUACAAAGUAGUCUAAUAUUCUCGUUUCUGGAAGAUGUACUUUAUUAAUCCUAUGUUGACUCAAGUUUAUAUGUUUUCAGUCAGACUAACAUGAUGUUAAAACAAAGUAAUAUACCAGAAAAUUCAUCUUAAAAAAAAGAAAAAAAAUGAAAAGAAAAAGAAAGGAAGGAAGAAAAAAGUGAUAGAAGUUGUAGCAAUAUUGUUAAGCUUGCUAAUGCUCAUUGAGGGAUGGAUACCACUGUAGUUUGUUUAGAAAACAGGAAGAAUCUGUACCGUUGUACCAAGUAGAUAAUGAUGAUAUACAGAACUCCUUGUACCAAGUGGACAAGGAAGAUCUGCUUGAAUCAGCUAACUUUGAGAAAGCAAGCAUUGUGCAAUCAAGGCAAGGAGCAAACUGAGCAUAGGUGAAGACUGGGCUCAACCAGCAAACACAGUGAGGAAUAGUACUGAUUUCAUCUAGAGGGUCCUAGGACUACCAACACAAAAUGACUGAGCAUGUGCAAGCAAGCAGAACCCUACCUUAAUAAUUUUGUGGGAAGUAUUGAAUAUGUAUGUACUGCCUGGGAAAACCUUUGCAUAUGUAGCUCAAGUAAUGUAUAUAAGCUGAUGAUCUUUUAUGUCAGGUAUGCAUCAUUAGGUGGAAGGAUUCCCUCGUGUAUCUGGUGCCAGCAAUAAAGAAUGCCUGCUUUCUAACA